GGGCGCAUAGCUCAGUUGGUAGAGCAGCUGACUCUUAAUCAGCCGGUCCUCGGUUCGAAUCCGAGUGCGCCCCCCA
rnacentral:tRNA from 1 species